rnacentral:rRNA from 1 species
GACGGGGGGGGGCAAGUGUUCUUCGGAAUGACUGGGCGUAAAGGGCACGUAGGCGGUGAAUCGGGUUGAAAGUGAAAGUCGCCAAAAAGUGGCGGAAUGCUCUCGAAACCAAUUCACUUGAGUGAGACAGAGGAGAGUGGAAUUUCGUGUGUAGGGGUGAAAUCCGUAGAUCUACGAAGGAACGCCAAAAGCGAAGGCAGCUCUCUGGGUCCCUACCGAUGCUGGGGUGCGAAAGCAUGGGGAGCGAACAGG